rnacentral:rRNA from 1 species
UACGGAGGGUGCUAGCGUUGUUCGGAAUUACUGGGCUUAAAGCGCACGUAGGCGGAUUUGUAAGUUAGAGGUGAAAGCCUGGAGCUCAACUCCAGAACUGCCUUUAAGACUGCAUCGCUCGAAUCCAGGAGAGGUGAGUGGAAUUCCGAGUGUAGAGGUGAAAUUCGUAGAUAUUCGGCAGAACACCAGUUGCGAAGGCGGCUCACUGGACUGGAAUUGACGCUGAGGUACGAAAGCGUGGGGAGCAAACAGG